UGAUGAAAAAGGCAAACCCGUCAAAAGGCGGGGACGCAAAGCUACCUGUCUAACGGAUGUCAGCAUCCCAUGAUCGAGGGGCCGCCACA
rnacentral:ncRNA from 1 species